GGAGGCAUGGCUCAAGUGGUAAAGUAUCUACCUAGCAAGCACAAGGCCCUGAGUUCAAACCUCAGUACAACUG
rnacentral:tRNA from 1 species